rnacentral:tRNA from 1 species
GGGAAUGUGACUUAGUGGUAAGAGUGUUUGCCUAGCAUGCAAGAAGUCUUGGGUUUUCUUCCCACUACCA